rnacentral:rRNA from 1 species
UACGUAGGGGCCUAGCGUUGUCCGGAUUUAUUGGGCGUAAAGAGCUCGUAGGCGGUUUGGUGAGUCGGGUGUGAAAUCUCCACGCUCAACGUGGAGGGGCCACCCGAUACUGCCAUGACUAGAGUCCGGUAGGGGAGUGUGGAAUUCCCGGUGUAGCGGUGAAAUGCGCAGAUAUCAGGAGGAACACCAGCGGCGAAGGCGGCGCUCUGGGCCGGAACUGACGCUGAGGAGCGAAAGCGUGGGGAGCAAACAGG